CGUACCUUUUGUAUAAUGGGUCAGCGACUUAUAUUCUGUAGCAAGGUUAACCGCAUAGGGGAGCCGGAGGGAAACCGAGUCUUAACCGGGCGUUAAGUUGCAGGGUAUAGACCCGAAACCCGGUGAUCUAGCCAUGGGCAGGUUGAAGGUUGGGUAACACUAACUGGAGGACCGAACCGACUAAUGUUGAAAAAUUAGCGGAUGACCUGUGGCUGGGGGUGAAAGGCCAAUCAAACCGGGAGAUAGCUGGUUCUCCCCGAAAGCUAUUUAGGUAGCGCCUCGUGAAUUCAUCUCCGGGGGUAGAGCACUGUUUCGGCCAGGGGGCCAUCCCGGCUUACCAAUCCGAUGCAAACUGCGAAUACCGGAGAAUGUUAUCACGGGAGACACACGGCGGGUGCUAACGUCCGUCGUGAAGAGGGAAACAACCCAGACCGCCAGCUAAGGUCCCAAAGUCAUGGUUAAGUGGGAAACGAUGUGGGAAGGCCCAGACAGCCAGGAUGUUGGCUUAGAAGCAGCCAUCAUUUAAAGAAAGCGUAAUAGCUCACUGGUCGAGUCGGCCUGCGCGGAAGAUGUAACGGGGCUAAACCAU
rnacentral:rRNA from 1 species